UUUGCUCUCUUCUUCUUCAUUGAUGAGUUUGUUCUGUUUUCAACUAUCACACCUCCUUUACUUUCUUUUUCUUCUUCACACCAUCUCUUUUCUCUUUUCUUCUGUAUGGAUGAAUGGUGUCUCUCUGUAUGUCCCCAAUUCCCAAAAGACGUUCACAGAGUUCCCGGUAAUUUUUGUUUUCUUUCGAUUCCCGUGUAUAUGGGUUAGUUCAUUCCUUCAUUUCUCGUUUUGAUUCUGUCUUUUCUCCACCGUAUGCGCAAACAGAAAGAGGAAGAAGAGAAACGAUGGGUUAGUUUUUUGUUUGCCAUGGUUCAGAAUUCAUUUUACUAUGAUAUAUUUUUGUCAUGGAGCAUUUUUUUCUGUAUCUAGCUAGUUUUAUUUUACCGAAAACAUAACUAUCAGGUUGCUUCCAUGGCUUGCUUGCUAGUGCUCACUUAGUGUGGUUUUUUCAUACCUUGUGUUGCAUGUUUAUAAGAAACACUUUCAUGUAUAUUCCCCUUGAUUGAUUUCAUGUUAAAGCUAGCAUUAGACGUAUUUCUUUUUUAACUUUCUUUUUCCUAGAAAAACAAAACUUUUUAAGGUUUGAAUAUCUGAACUUUUGGUAUAAUUUCACAAAAAGUAGCCAAUUUUUGUUACAAUCAAGUAUCUAUUUAUUUUAUCUUCUCCCUUUCCUUGGGAGGUAGACUUAAUUUUAAAAUGUUACUUUGGCGAAGUAAUUGCAAUUUUCUUCUUGUAGCUCCCAUUUCCUGAUGAAGUGUACUAAUACCAAUUAAUAUUGUGGAUUAAAAAUUUCUAUUGUAAUUUUCUGGUACAUUAUGGAAGGCUUGGUGUGUCUAUACGGUUAUGGCAAGGACUCUGAUGUCAUUUUCUGGUCGCUUUUUAAUAUAUAAUUAAUAAAAUUAUUAUAUAUUUUUAUUAUAUUAUUAAUAAUUAGUAUAUAUUUUUAUUAUAUUUAAAUGAAGACAACUACAAAUUAAAGAGAACAACAAAUGGACAAAGGGUAGUAGGUCACCGGUGGACCCUACAAAUUAAAUGAAGACAACUGGCUGCAUUGAAAAUUUUGUUCUUUACAUAUGCAUACUUCUGAAUCACACUUCAAUGACUUUUUUAAAGUCAAGUAAAAUCAUACCUUAUAUAUAGCCGUUAUUAAUAUAUAAUAAUUAAUUAAUUGUGCAGACAGAAUCCAUGACAAAUAUGGUAUUCUGUAUUUGUUUAGAAUUUAGAUGGGUAAAAAUAAUAAAUAUCAUUACCUGUAUUGUAUAGCAAGAGCUUUUGAGCGCAAUGUUUCCUUUUUGAUAUCUAAGAUUUGAAAACAAAAUUUAAGCGCCAACUUUUUCUUUUUGACUGCACAAAUUUAAAGUCAGCUUUAAAAAUCAAUUCCUUCCAUUCAUUUUCUCUAUCUCUCUAUCAGUUUUUCUCCUCUUUUUCUCUCACGGUCUCUCGCUCUCUGAUUGCUGUAAUUUGAAAACACAAUUGCAAGAUGACUGAUGAAGCAUGGUGAGGUGCCAACUGCGUUUGUAUUGAGAGCAAAUGGUCACACUGACACAACUGAGGAUGAAAUUAAGCAAUUCGUUUCCAAAGAGGUGAUGAAGACAAAUUGAUUUGGAACUAUUUAGAAGAUGGAAGUUACUUAAAUAAGAAGCACUUGAAGAUAGAGAUCAUCUUUUCAUCCAUCUGAUGAGUGUUAACAUGCUGAACUUAAUUAAUCACUUAAUCAAAUCCAACCGGUAAAAAAAAGUGAUUUUAAAAUAUAGAAUUUAUUAUUCGAGAACUAUUUUUUUUGAUUGGCGGCUAGGCUGGUCCAGCAGCUAUCGUCAUUGCGAAUGACCUCGCAUAUUAUCAUCGACUGUUGUUGUUCUUCAAGUAUCCAAGUGAUGCAGAUAUUUGGUGGUGGACAUGAGAUAUGUGCUGCUGCCGAUAUUUAACCAGUUUUUUGAGGCUACUUGACGGAGUGUGGGUGUAUGAUAUUCUUCACCAGUCACAGAAGAGGAAGAAGAAAAAGAAACAAAAAAGGAAAAAAAAAGAGAUGGUGUAGUUGAACACCCCAAGCAAAACCCACAAUUUAUAGCGUAGCUUGUCUCAUUCAUGGACAUGACUUGUCUCAUUCAAGUACGAUUCGAUAUCUUGUAUAAAUUUUUUUUAUUUUAGUUUC